rnacentral:rRNA from 1 species
UACCCGCAGCACAAGUGGUGGUCAUUAUUAUUGGGCCUAAAGCGUCCGUAGCUGGCCUGUUAGAUGCCUGGGUAAAUCGAUGCGCUCAACGCAUCGAACUCCGGGUAGACCGGCAGGCUUGGGACCGGGAGAGAUGUGAGCUACUCGAGGGGUAGGGGUAAAAUCCGGUAAUCCUUCGGGGAGGACCAGUGGCGAAGGCGGCACAUUAGAACGGCUCCGACAGUGAGGGACGAAGCCCUGGGGCGCAAACCGG